ACGAUGAUCCCAGCUUGCUGGGGGAUUAGUGGCGAACGGGUGAGUAACACGUGAGUAACCUGCCCUUGACUCUGGGAUAAGCCUGGGAAACUGGGUCUAAUACCGGAUACGACCAUCUGGCGCAUGUCAUGGUGGUGGAAAGCUUUUGUGGUUUUGGAUGGACUCGCGGCCUAUCAGCUUGUUGGUGGGGUAAUGGCCUACCAAGGCGACGACGGGUAGCCGGCCUGAGAGGGUGACCGGCCACACUGGGACUGAGACACGGCCCAGACUCCUACGGGAGGCAGCAGUGGGGAAUAUUGCACAAUGGGCGCAAGCCUGAUGCAGCGACGCCGCGUGAGGGAUGACGGCCUUCGGGUUGUAAACCUCUUUCAGUAGGGAAGAAGCGAAAGUGACGGUACCUGCAGAAGAAGCGCCGGCUAACUACGUGCCAGCAGCCGCGGUAAUACGUAGGGCGCAAGCGUUAUCCGGAAUUAUUGGGCGUAAAGAGCUCGUAGGCGGUUUGUCGCGUCUGCUGUGAAAGACCGGGGCUCAACUCCGGUUCUGCAGUGGGUACGGGCAGACUAGAGUGCAGUAGGGGAGACUGGAAUUCCUGGUGUAGCGGUGAAAUGCGCAGAUAUCAGGAGGAACACCGAUGGCGAAGGCAGGUCUCUGGGCUGUAACUGACGCUGAGGAGCGAAAGCAUGGGGAGCGAACAGGAUUAGAUACCCUGGUAGUCCAUGCCGUAAACGUUGGGCACUAGGUGUGGGGGACAUUCCACGUUUUCCGCGCCGUAGCUAACGCAUUAAGUGCCCCGCCUGGGG
rnacentral:rRNA from 1 species